rnacentral:sRNA from 1 species
AGCAUUUCUCCUUUCAGGAUACAGUACAGGAUCCUUUCUGGAAUGGAGGUCUUAUGAGCUGCUAUCGAACACGGCAGCACUACAGGACGUCGGGACUGGGCACUUCCUUCCAACAUGGCCGCCACUGCCUCUCCGCAGCCACUCACCACUGAGGAUGCCGAUUCUGAGAAUAGCAGCUUCUAUUACUAUGACUACCUGGAUGAGGUGGCCUUCAUGCUCUGCAGGAAGGAUGCAGUGGUGUCCUUUGGCAAAAUCUUCCUCCCAGUCUUCUAUAGCCUGAUUUUUGUGUUGGGCCUCAGCGGGAACCUCCUUCUUCUCAUGGUCUUGCUCCGUUACGUGCCUCGCAGGCGGAUGGUUGAGAUCUAUCUGCUGAAUCUGGCCAUCUCCAACCUUCUGUUUCUGGUGACACUGCCCUUCUGGGGCAUCUCCGUGGCCUGGCAUUGGGUCUUCGGGAGUUUCUUGUGCAAGAUGGCGGUGGAGAACUACUGAGGACUUCUGAGCAGAGAAGUUGGUGGAAGAGGAAGCACCAAAAAUCCAUCUCAUCACCUAGAGAGCAUUGUACUGGCAGAACUGU